rnacentral:rRNA from 1 species
UACAGAGGUCCCAAGCGUUGUUCGGAUUCAUUGGGCGUAAAGGGUGCGUAGGUGGCGUCGUAAGUCGGGUGUGAAAUCUCGGGGCUUAACUCCGAAACUGCAUUCGAUACUGCGGUGCUUGAGGACUGGAGAGGAGACUGGAAUUUACGGUGUAGCAGUGAAAUGCGUAGAGAUCGUAAGGAAGACCAGUGGCGAAGGCGGGUCUCUGGAAAGUUCCUGACACUGAGGCACGAAAGCCAAGGGAGCAAACGGG